GACGAACGCUGGCGGCGUGCUUAACACAUGCAAGUCGAACGGAAAGGCCCUGCUUUUGUGGGGUGCUCGAGUGGCGAACGGGUGAGUAACACGUGAGUAACCUGCCCUUGACUUUGGGAUAACUUCAGGAAACUGGGGCUAAUACCGGAUAGGAGCUCCUGCUGCAUGGUGGGGGUUGGAAAGUUUCGGCGGUUGGGGAUGGACUCGCGGCUUAUCAGCUUGUUGGUGGGGUAGUGGCUUACCAAGGCUUUGACGAGUAGCCGGCCUGAGAGGGUGACCGGCCACAUUGGGACUGAGAUACGGCCCAGACUCCUACGGGAGGCAGCAGUGGGGAAUAUUGCACAAUGGGUGGAAGCCUGAUGCAGCAACGCCGCGUGCGGGAUGACGGCCUUCGGGUUGUAAACCGCUUUCGCCUGUGACGAAGCGUGAGUGACGGUAAUGGGUAAAGAAGCACCGGCUAACUACGUG
rnacentral:rRNA from 1 species